rnacentral:rRNA from 1 species
GCGCGAAAACUCUGCAAUGCCGGCAACGGCGACAGGGGAACACCAAGUGCUUGCACUUUGUGCAAGCUGUUUUCAUGCCUAAAAAGCAUGGAGAGUAAGGGCUGGGUAAGACGGGUGCCAGCCGCCGCGGUAAUACCCGCAGCCCGAGUGGUGCUCGUUAUUAUUGGGCCUAAAGCGUCCGUAACCGGCUUCGUAAAUGCCUGGGGAAAUCGUCGCGCUCAACGCGACGAAGGCCCGGGUAGACUGCGAGGCUCGAGACCGGGAGAGGCCAGAGGUACUCCAGGGGUAGAGGUGAAAUUCUGUAAUCCUUGGGGGACCACCGGUGGCGAAGGCGUCUGGCUAGAACGGAUCUGACGGCGAGGGACGAAGCCCUGGGGCGCAAACGGG